GAUGAACGCUAGCGGCAGGCCUAAUACAUGCAAGUCGGACGGGAUCCAUCGGAGAGCUUGCUCGAAGAUGGUGAGAGUGGCGCACGGGUGCGUAACGCGUGAGCAACCUACCUCUAUCAGGGGGAUAGCCUCUCGAAAGAGAGAUUAACACCGCAUAAUAUAAUCUUCCGGCAUCGUUAGAUUAUUAAAUAUUUAUAGGAUAGAGAUGGGCUCGCGUGACAUUAGCUAGUUGGUAAGGUAACGGCUUACCAAGGCGACGAUGUCUAGGGGCUCUGAGAGGAGAAUCCCCCACACUGGUACUGAGACACGGACCAGACUCCUACGGGAGGCAGCAGUAAGGAAUAUUGGUCAAUGGGCGGAAGCCUGAACCAGCCAUGCCGCGUGCAGGACGACUGCCCUAUGGGUUGUAAACUGCUUCUGUCCAGGAACAAACCUAAAUACGUGUAUUUAGCUGAAUGUACUGGAAGAAUAAGGAUCGGCUAACUCCGUGCCAGCCGCCGCCGUAAUAC
rnacentral:rRNA from 1 species